GGUAGUAUAGUGGUUUGUAUCCCCGCUUGUCACGUGGGAGGCGGGGGUUCGAUUCCCCGCCG
rnacentral:tRNA from 1 species